UACGAAGGGGGCUAGCGUUGUUCGGAUUUACUGGGCGUAAAGCGCACGUAGGCGGAUCGAUCAGUCAGGGGUGAAAUCCCAGGGCUCAACUCUGGAACUGCCUUUGAUACUGUCGAUCUGGAGUAUGGAAGAGGUGAGUGGAAUUCCGAGUGUAGAGGUGAAAUUCGUAGAUAUUCGGAGGAACACCAGUGGCGAAGGCGGCUCACUGGCUCGAUACUGACGCUGAGGUGCGAAAGCGUGGGGAGCAAACAGG
rnacentral:rRNA from 1 species